rnacentral:rRNA from 1 species
GAUGAACGCUGGCGGCGUGCCUAAUACAUGCAAGUCGAGCGAACAGACGAGGAGCUUGCUCCUCUGACUUUAGCGGCGGACGGGUGAGUAACACUUGGAUAACCUACCUAUAAGACUGGGAUAACUUCGGGAAACCGGAGCUAAUACCGGAUAACAUAUUUAUCCGCAUGGUUCAAUAGUGAAAGACGGUUUUGCUGUCACUUAUAGAUGGAUCCGCGCCGCAUUAGCUUGUUGGUAAGGUAACGGCUUACCAAGGCAACGAUGCGUAGCCGACCUGAGAGGGGGAUAGGCCACACUGGAACUGAGACACGGUCCAGACUCCUACGGGAGGCAGCAGUAGGGAAUCUUCCGCAGUGGGCGAAAGCCUGACGGAACAACGCCGCGUGAGUGAUGAAGGUCUUCGGAUCGUAAAACUCUAUUAUUAGGGAAGAACAAAUGUGUAAGUAACUAUGCACGUCUUGACGGUACCUAAUCAGAAAGCCACGGCUAACUACGUG